UUAUAACUGAGUCAUAUAACCAUAAGGGCUUCGGUACAAUACUCAUUCUGGCAACCUUCGAGCAGUACCAAUCACUUACAUGUAGAUACCACGUUGGAGAGGACACAAACAUUUCACCAAUCAAAUCUCCCUCACACUAACUAUAGAGAUAGGACAGAAGUAGGCUUUGGAGAAGUGGAAACCACACUCCUGGGUAACAAAGAAAGACUAAGACGGCUUGCCUUUCCAUUGUCAUAGUUGACUAGGACGUGCUUAGCCAGCAAGAGUGAAGCGACUUUACAGUGAAUAUCUCAAAAUACUUUGCAUUAACUCAUCAUUGGGCCAAUUGUUCCCUCCUCUCCUCCGGUGACUUUUCUGAUAUUAAAUUCUCAGGGAAACUCAUCUGCUACUUUUGGCCACUGGGGAUCAUUUGAUAUAUAACACCAAAACUAUCAAUCGUCAACUUAUGGCUGCAACAAAUGACUUUACUAUCAGGAAUAAACAAUUACAUCUGCGGGGAGCAGAAGAUCUUUGUUUGUAUUUUUGAAAGGAAAGGAGGAAAAUUAACCUACUUUAGCACUAGUCCAUUCUUGGAAGAUUCUAUUGUGUCUCCAUUUUCCAACGGGCAAUUGUGGAAACAGGAAAUUGAAAAACUUCACCACGUUAAGAUAAAUAUGAUGAUAUACUAAAGCUGUGAGAUAUGUUUGCUGACUUUCAGUCUGCUGAAUUUGGGCUUCGUCUCCACAAGUCAAGGGGUCACCUCUAAUAAUUCAUCCAUUCAUUUCAACCAUCCCUUAUGCUCCUCCCUCUCAACCCCUCUUCUUAAACACAUCCUCACUACAACAAGUGGAAACAAAUGCUAGUCAUGGGGAAAGGAGAGGGGCUCAUUCUGAGCUUUGCAGUCAUUUCCCUAGAGGCCUGAGAAUGGCAGGGAUGAUUCAUGAUAAAUGCUAAUCCUGGCUCUUGCAUCUAAUUUUCAGGUAGGUACAAAGGAGCAUUAGUUUUUGCAUCUAGGGAUAUGGAUAAUGACAACAACAGGCUUUCCCGAGGGGCCUACAUAUAUGAUUAACUCUACAGGAAAAUACUUAGAAAUCCAUUUAAGAUGGAAGAUGCUUUAUUAAUACAUUUGCCUGCCAUUGCUUCAUUAGUAUGUCUGGGCAAGAAAAUAAUUCUUCUUACAGGCUCUUUGAGAUGUUUGGUUUCUACCAGUCUGCAUGCAGUUGAUCUAAGACAAUCAAACCAUCUUUGUCUCUGCCCGUGAAGGGAAAGCACUAAGCUUAGCAAUCCAGCAGUUGCAGCAGAAAACCCAGCCAAGCUCAGGUAACUCACAGGGAGGGCAAAGAAAAGGCACUUGCAACCUCAUACCUGCUUCGUGGGCGCAGGGAUCCAAACUUUAUUCAAACAUAGAAGUUUAGAAAGUGGUGAAAGGUCAGAGAUGCCCACAUAAUUAACAAGACAAAAUCCAUUUUAUUCAAACCGGCUAUUGAAGUGGUUUGAAAAGAUGAAGAUCAAAAUCAUAUGUCAACUCACUUCCCAGCCCUUAAUCCCUAAAUAUGACCAACACUUAGUGGCUUAUCUUAUAUCCUGUCUCCUGCUUCAUAAAAACUGCUGGAUUUAUUUUAUUUUUCCCAGCAUAUCCGAGUUAAUGAAAAGGGAUGACAUUCAAAGCAAUUUCAUUAUUUGUGUUCUUUAUAGAAACAACUUCCUUUCUGCCUCCUUGAAAGCCGAUUCCUAACGAGCGCCCACCUCCACCCUCUUUCCCACCAUCUCCGUCUCCUUCUUCCCUUCCUUCGUGCAUACACAUAUACUGUACACAUAAAUCAACUUGUCACAGCUUGUCUCUGUGCUGACAGCUGUAAUUGCUUCAGGUUAUAAAAAAUAUCUAUAGGACAAUGCCUUUCAAGCUCACAAACAUGUACACACAUACACACUCCCUGAGCAAAAGGAAACAAUCAUAUUCCCUUUAAUAAUCCUGGGACUGCAAAGGAGGGAGGAGAGAAGAGCCUGCCAUGUGUACUCUGGAUGGUUGGCAGGCAGGUGAGGAAGCAGUAGAUGGAGACUUCAGGCAACCCUGGCAUCUGUACACUGAAGCAGGGCUGGAACAGAGAAGAACUCCCAAUGAAAGAGAAAUUAGCUGUUGUUUUUGUUUUACUCCAUGUUACCCAGAGCAAGCUGGGGCCAGCUAAAGAGCUAUCACUAUUCCACACACACAAGAGACGAAAAGAGGAGCACUAGCUUAACAAAUGCCAGCUCUGCUUCUCCUCGUCGAAAAAGGCUAAAGGCUCCCCUCUCCUGGUGGAGAUCUCACAUAGGAGUGCAGGCGAGAAGAUGGGAAAUGCAGGGCCAUUAGAGAGUGGUGUGACAUCAAAUAGAUAUUGGAAGAUUUAAUCAGAAAAGGAUGUGUAAAUCUGGAUAAAGAGAUGCCUCUAGGGCAGUAGGGAAGGGCUGGGAACUGGAAAAAUAUAUGCUAUUUUUUGCUCCUCUAUGAAUACAGGAUCAAAAUAAAAUCGUGGUUCAUCUGGGCUAUAGUCCAACAUGUUAGGAUUUCAGCAGAAAGAGCAAAGGUGCAACUUGAAAAGGGGAAGAGGGCUCCAGGGAGAGAAAAGAGGUCACAAAUAGAGAGAACUGAGAAGGAGGAUAUGAAGGAAUGGCAAAGGUGAGGCUAUCUAUGGACUUUAAACCCAUAAAACUUUAUAAGAGAUGCAUAAAGCAGAGCGAUGGUGGAUAGAACAAUCGGAGGUAGACAGAAAAGUCAGGGGGAGCAGGAUGAACAAGCCAAAAUCAAAGUGCCGACGCAGCGAAAGGCAGGUGCCCAAAGGGGACAGCCUGAGAGCCAGGGGUCUUUGGGGCAGAGUCUUUCCUUUUUAUCUAAGUUUUGGGUCAUAAUAAGACCCUGGACUCGUAACAUCACAGAAUGAUACAUUCAGAAGGGACCUUGGAAGAUCUUUAGUAUAAUCCAUUCAUUUCUUAAGUGAAGGAUUGAGCCCCAGGAAGGAGGAGGAGUUGAUCGUAGGAGCAUAAAGUUUAUAAACUGGCCAAUCCAGACUAGAAGUCAGAACUCCUGACUCCUACAGCAGGGUUCUUUCUACUCUACCUGUCAGAUAAGAACAAUAUUUAAGAGCUGACCACUCAGUAACUCCUGCUGCUGCAUCAUCUGUGGCCGAGAGAGAGACCCCCAGAGGACAGGUUACCAUGAUUGCCCAGAAUCACUUUGGGUGUCACAUUAUUUGGUUGAACUCAAAUUAGUUAAUCAACCAGCAAGCAGAUUUUGAGUUCCUUGUGUGUACCAGGAACUGUGUUGAGAGGAACAAAAAUAAAGACAUGCCCCUGCCCUUGAGUUGCGUGUCGUCUAGUGCUAUUGGGUUUGUCAGUGGUUUUAUUUCCAUUAACGUUCAUGAAAAUUAAAUGAACUCCACCCUGCACUCCCCUAUAGGCCCUUGAGAACUUUCUCAUUGCUGAGACAAAAAAGCUGAGGUCUGCCUAGCCUGUGGGAAGUGAUUUGUCUCAUUACACUUAUCCAGAUUCCCAGGCACAAUCUUGGUUCUCUAGCUUCACUGGAAGGGGUAUUAGGAGGGGUGGGGUGCUCUGAAGGACUUCUGAAUAUUGGGAAGCCCUUCAUCAACUCAACAGGGCCAGGGAAAGCAAUGAAUGGGAGAGACAUAGGCAAAAGUAACGUGGGCCUCCCCUGCAUGAAGUGCACUUCCAGCAGGGGAGACAGACAUUUAACAAAGAAUUUUAUGAAAUAGUGGAUACAACUGUGAUGAAUGCUGUGAGAAAAAAAAAAUGGAAAAGACAGGAUGGGAGAUUCUCAUCGUGCCUGGAAGAUCAGGAAACUUCCCUAAGGAAGUGACAUUAAACUGGACUUAAAAGUGAGCUGGAGAUGAAGGGAUGGGCAAGCAUGGGCAGGAAUCUCGUGGAUGGCAGAAGACAGCACAGACGCUACACGACCCAAGACGGAAAGGAGCAUGAGCAGAAACUUCUUUGACAGCCUCAGACGGUGCUCAUACAAACUAAGGAUGGGCACCUCGGGAGUGCUCUGUGUCUCACUGAAAACCUCUAAUGCCAUCGACAUUGUGUGUUCAUGCAGUCAUGGAUUCAUUCAGUACAUAUUUAUCCAAUAAGAAGGACCGUGACCUUGGGUUUUAGACUCAGACCAGAAGUCAAAUAUUCACCCUCUCCAUUACUAGCUGUGGGACCUUGGGGACAUGCCCUAAUCUAAUCUGUAAAAUAGUGGUCCUCAUGGUACCUACUGCUCAGUACUGCUGUGAGGAUGAGAUGAGGGAGUAGCUGCAAAGAGUUUAGCACAGGCCUGGCUGCUCCCAGGCUUCUCAUGCUGGGACUGGAAGGAGCUGCCAUUGGCUGUGCUUCCUUCAUUCUGAGUCAGCCUACAGGUAACAUUCAUGCAGAGAACCCAGGAGCAGACUGCUGAGUGCAGGCCCUGGGAAUGCUCUUAGAGUUCACAGCAUAAGGCGGACAGAGCAGGAACGUCAUGCUGAGAUGUAGUCAGAGAGGAAGUAGCACAGCCUCUAGACCACCCACAGCAGGAAGAGCCGUGGCCCCCCAGCUCCCACCCCACUGUCAGGCCUCUGUUCUCUAGGCCUGUGGGAAACAGCCUGUGCUUGCAAAAGAGGAGGCAGCUUUCUCUUUCAGUACCAGCCUGGGAAACUUUGAAAGUACAACAGAAAAGUAGCCAAUCCACCUGACAAAAAGACAGGACACCUCCAUCCCAUUGUAAAGUGAGCCACAAUGUCUGACCUCCUACCAUAAGCCUUUAAGCCCUUCAUUGCUCCAAGGUGCCUGAUGGCUGAAUCCAAAGCUUCUUCGACCAUGCAAGGCCCAACACGCUCAGGUCUCCAUCUUAAACAAAUCACUGGAUAAGAACAUCUUGGGCCUGCCUCAUCUCUCCUAAUUUCUACAUUCAGGGAUUGGCCUUGUAACCUCUGUGAAAGAGUCACCUGGAGACAUUCAUCUACAGGCACACACAUACACCAGUUCUAAUGUUUCUGAGCCCAGCCAGAGUAGGGAAGUGCCUUCUCAAACAGAAAGAGCCCUAGGAAUGGCAAUUUUAUCAAGUACAAAUUUGGAGUUUAAAACCCCAGGUUUUAACUUGGGGUUUUAAACUCUCAGAGGAACUUGGAUUACUUCUACCCCUGUGCUCCAUUCUCCCUAAACAAUCACCUAGAACUUUUGUCUCUGUUUGAUCUUUUCCCCUCAUUUUCUUUAGAGGUUUUAUUCCUUGUUCCCCAUCCAAAAACAACAGCAGACAAAAUAAAUUUUAAUGACAUAAGAAUUUGCAUAAUAACAUAUGGGUCCAACUGUACUUUGUAUUGGAGGUGACAUUUGUGCAAAUAUAUUUUGUAAACCAGAAGACCUGAGUUCUAGUUUCAACUCAGCCCAUCAUUUUGUCACCUUAGAUAAGUCACUGCUUGUGUUUGAAUUUUUAGCUCCUUUGUUUGUCAAAAAACAAAAAAAAAUCUUCAUGAUCUGUGUGUCACUGAGAAGGUCUAAUGACUAAUUCACUCAAAUGGGUUAAUGCACUUUUGCAGAAUUAAAGGAACAAUUUCAGAGUACGGUGACAGCUCAGUAAAGGGCUGGGAUCCAGGGUCUGGAAUUCCAGCCCUAAGUCUGCCCCUUACCAGCUCACUGGAAUAGCUCUGCUCUCUUCCUCUUGCCUUCUAAAUGAGGAGUUUGGAUGAGAUGGCUUCCCAGGACAUUUCCAACUCUAAUAGUCUAGGAUUAUAAUGCUUCUCAACACUCUUAUCAAAUUCACUCAUCAAUCCUUCCUGCACAGAAAUAGCCCUUCUUAUAUGGCCUUCCAUUCUUCCCAUUCGUCUAGGUAACCACUUCAGAAUGUUGAAAACUGUUGUACAAAGUAAUUAAUGAGCUGCCCUGGAUCUGAGGCAAGCGACGGAAGAGUCAAGAUGAUUAAAAGUCUUCUGAUAAAGGGUUUCUUUAAGGAAAAGAAAAUCCCACAAUGCAACCAGCAAUGUUAAUCUUCAAUAAAUACGCUGUUAAUAUUUAACUGGCAUUUAUUUAAACUUACAGUAACGGUCCUAUUAAAUCUAAAUUAAUUGCCCAUUUGGGAAUCUUCCCCUAAAGCCUAGCUGGGACAUGGCUAUCUAGAUACAGUCUAUGCUAGGCAUCCAGCCAUAAAGAGAAUAUUUACACACUCCUUCCAUGACUAGACUAUUGGAAUAUCCGGGUUAGAAGAGUUUUAGAGAUCUAUUGGACUGGUUGCACACUGUCUGUCCUUUAACUUUCCGCGGCCCUAUUUUUUUUUUUCUUCUCUUCAGUAAGGGAUUUUUUCUGUGUUUCCUGUAUCUACCUCUUCCCACCUUUUCUUUUUAUUUGGAUUCUCUCUCCUUUCUGUUAGUGUUUGUUUCUUCUGGACUUCAUGGUUUAGACUCAUCCUGCUGUGUUUUAUCUCAAUCUCUGCUGAGUUUCUCAGAUAAGCCAUUUAGGCAUAUGUUCAUAGCAUAUUCUGUACACACACGGAUACAUAUACAUACAUAUAAUUUUAUGUGUCACAGAGAACAUUUUAUAAUAGCAGUUGUAUAUAAAAGGCUAAGUGCCGUGAAAUAAUUCCUGAGUCAUGCUGCUUUAGAAGGGGCAGCAAGAGUGUAAUUGGGUAGAACUGAUAUUUGCUAUCCCUGAAAUCAAUCAAUAUUCUUUAUUAGAAAUGUGGACCUGGAUGAACUGCUGUGAUGUUAUUUUGCUGGGAUUGUAACCCAUUUACAUUUCCACACCAAACAUAUACAGACACACCAUACCAGUUUCAUCAGAUCAGUUGACUACUGAGACAUGGAUUUCAAACAAACACCUAAUUAGAGGGGUUAGUGUUCAAACUGAGUUAACUUUAAACCAAUGCAUCAAGGCUGCACAGAAUCUGAACUUUCCUUGGGGAAGCAGGAACUGGAUGAGACUAAAAUCGUUCACUCUAAGGUUCUAAAUGUUUAGUUCACCAAGUUUGAUUUGUAAAUGUUCACUGUUUGCUUUGCAGGCCCCGGGACAGGAAUGGUAGUAGGGAGGGGACAAAGCACCAGUGAGGAGCAGGUGAAGUGGUGGGAAGGCACCCACACAUUUUAAGAAGAUAAACAUACUCUCAACUGUUUGUUUGUGGAAGGCUUGAAUUUGUACUGCCCUAGAAGUCAAGUUUCUUUGUAUUUCUAGCUAAACUAAUACCCAAACUAUCCACUUCCUUUUUUAAUUCUUUACUUCAAUUUAAAGUAUCUAUUGACUCUGACAAACUUAUUGACUCUUACAAAGAAAUAAUAAAAUGCAUUUCUGUAUGCUUGUGAAUCUCUGUGACUUUCACCUUGUUGGUCCACCUGUAUGCAUUACCAUCGUGAGUUCAGGGCCUUUCUAAAUAAAGUAAUUGAGGUUGCCCUUGGGGCAUCACAGCCUUGUGCUUCUUUCCCAACCUGGGGUUGACAUGGGCAGCACCUCCCAGAAAGAAAUGAUUUCCCUAAAGCUUUGGUAUGCUUUCCUUCACUAGCUUAGCACAAAACUACCAGUGGUACUGCAGGUCGUGAGAAAGAAGGAGCAACUUGUGAGUGUCUUAGGAAAAUGAACUUAUGUGCUGUUCAGGUAGCUUUGAACCUGGAGGAGGCAGAAUUUGGAAAAUGUUGUCAACGUGCAUGUGAAUAAACCACAACACAUGAAAUAAUCUACCCUGGCUUUCACAACAGUUUUGACAAGGUGUCAGGAUCACAGAUACCUUUUAGAAAAGUGAGUAAUGAGAAGACUAUCUUUUUUUUUUUCAAAGGCAGAGAGCUGCUUAAAGCUAAGAUAUAAAUCAAGGGUAGAUUGACAUGUUUCUAUAUGGCCAAGUAUUAAUACUAGAUUCCCCAAGGGACAGUUGCUAGGACAAAUCAAAUUUAAUAUUUUUACCAAUGAUCUGUCAAAGGGAAUUCAUAGAGAACUCUCCCAAGUUUGCAGAAGACAUUAGGUUCCCUUAAGUAAUUAAAACUUUAGCUCACAUGGAUGAGCUGCAAAUAAUCCAGAAAGUUAUUUGGAUAUGUGGAAAAGUGGCCAAAUAUAAUGGAAGAUACUUUAGAAAAAAUAAAGUAUGCAUGUAAGUUGCUGGCAUCUAGGCAGUCGAUGAAGAGACAGUGAUGUGGAAGGGAUUGGGCAUGAAUGCUGGAGUUAAUGGCUUUGACUUUAUGUCCAAGUUCCACAAAUUACCAGCUUGACCUUGGAAAAUGUUCUCACCUCUCAGAGUCUCCUUUUCCUCUUCUAUUAAAAAGGAAUAAUACCUACCUCUUAUAUUUGCUGUGAGGGUUAAAUGAAAUAAUUUAUGUAAAGUACCAGUGAAGUACCUGGCCUGUAGUACCAACUCCACAAAUGGUUGCUACUGAUUAUUCUUUUACAACCCAGGAAAGUAAUCUUGGAAUCAGUGAUGGCUAGCAGUUCCCAAGCUAUGAUCCUUACAACACAUAUUGGAGCAUGAUACUAUAGAUUGCUUUCUGCAGGUAUCAGGAAUUUUUGCCAAAAAACAAGUGUUGGCCCAAACAUUUUUAUGGAAAACACUAAAAAGGGUAUUAGAAAAAAUAGGAACGAGAAAGAAAUGUUAUUUUUACUCAAAAUUGUUCCAUAAAAAUUCUCCUAGUAUUGCUUAUAGUAGUUAUCACUGUAGCUCACAAAUAAUAAACUUCAUGCAACCAACUGCUGAAAUCAGAAAUCGAGUCACUUUUAAUCUCUUCCCUCUUAUCACUGCCCCUCAUUACCCAAUCUCUCUCUCUCUCUUUCUCUCUCUCUCUCCCUCUUUCUCUCUCUCAGUCUUUUUCCUGUGUUCUUCCUCCAAAAUAUAUUUUACAUCCAUCCACCUUUCUCAACCUCCACUGCCUUGCCUGGCCCAAGCCAAGAUCUCCUCAUUUUCUUAUCUGGAUUCCUGAAAUUCAUCUUACGUGGAUGUCCUCCUUCUGCUCUUGCCAGCUCUGUUUCAAUCUCCACAUUGAAAGGAAGAUUUCCUGAAAUCUGACCUUGUCACUGUCCUGAUUAAAUCUUUGGUGGCUCCACACUGCAAUUUGAAUAAAGCUCCAAAUCCUUCCUGUGGUUUCUGAGCCCUCAGGACGUGGCAUCUGUGUAUUUUCAGCUUUAGCAACUACUUCUUCUUCCCUUUUGGAGCCAUGUCAGAUUUUGUUUUAUUGUAUUACACUUCUAAUUCCUCAGAGGUUCUUCUUUCUCAAUUGAGGGACUUUGCAUGUUCCACUUCCUGCCUAGGAUGCAGUCCCCAUGGUCUCGGGCUGAGUUGUCGUCACCCUUCUCGGUUCUGACUGGCUCAUGAAGGCCUCACUGUGCUAGUCCACUGGACUUGGCACAUGCCCUCUGCAUCAGUGCCUCGCAUAACACUCAGAAUACAUGUAAUGGUCUAAUUUCUGUCUUUUUCUCUGUUACAUUCCUGAAACCUAACACAAUGCCUGGAACAUAAUUGGUUUUGAUAAAUAUUUGUUGUAUUUAAGUGACCAGCACAGCUGAGGAAAAUUCAAAAAUUGAAAUAAUUUGUUUUGUAGGGACUUCCAAAUCUCUACAAACGAGGAACAUGAAAUUGAUGAUGACAUUUGGUAUUCACGAUGUAUAAGGAUAGAGUGAACACAUACUUAAUGACCAAACUCUAGCUAAAAUAAAAUAAAAAAACUCUUAAGAAAUCAAGACAGUAGUUAAAGGAUAAAAACAAGUAUGUCUGAAUAAAACUUAUACAGACAAAAAUAAUCUCUAAAUAAGAUAUGAAAAGGUUUGAAUAAAUUAACGUGUGAUAUACCCACACUGUUUGUUAGGUUAGAGGCAUCUGCUAUAUAUCUGUAACCUUUGAAGUAUGACUCAUGUAAAAUUGCCACUGUCCAAAGCAGGUAACUCGGACAUCUGAAUUUAUGUGACCCAGUGUGACCUUUCUAAUGUCAUGGUCCCAUCUACCCAGUAAUUCCAUUUUCUGCCUGGCUGGGGAUACUUCAAUUAUGCUUAUCUCGCCCUUCUCUCACCCCUACAUUAUGUUACAACUUCUUGUAGAAGGUUUAUGUACACUUGGUAAAGGCAUUUUUAAAAAUACUAUGAAAAGUGUGUGCAUGAUUUAUGUGGAAAUGCCCCCUGAGGAGGAGAACAGUUCCCUUUAGGCAGGGUUAGUUGGCCCGCCUUGCUUUCCAAUCCUUCACAUGCUUGGCUGUUUCCUCCAUGUAUGACCUCCAACUUUCACUCUUCACUGGGCUGGGGACCCCUGCUCCUCUGUGCACUCACUUGUUUUUUGUACACUGCCUCUGAAUUUACCUUGGACACAUACUUCACUUCACUUGGCUGCCUCGUUCCAAAAGUUUGACUUCUAGCAACCAGAAGAGCUGGAUUACGACAUACGUCUCUAAACUCUGUCUUAGCUCUUUCUAGCCACCUCAAUGCAUCCCCGUGUCAGCCUACAUUUUAGAGCGUGAUGGGAAGCAAUUUGUUUUCCAUAGAAUUUUUCAUUUUUCGCUCUAGUGGAAGAGAAUGGUGACAGCAAUCAUCCCAAGCAAUAGAUCAUGCAUGAGCCUGAGUUCUCGACUUUGUGCUCCACAGCGUUGGCCUCAACAGAAGGUGGGGGAAACUAGAUUAUUUUUCAAUUUCAUUUCCUGAAGACACAGAUGUGUAAAUGCACAGAGCCCAAGAGAUUGAAAAACAUGGUAGGCCAAGAUUAGACUGGCUUUAGAAAAUGUUCUCCCAAAUCAAGAUCAGAGUAAGUUAGUUGAAAAGAUUAUUUUUGAUUGCCCAGUAGGGAUGAGAACACCCUUCUCACAUUUAUUCAACAAGCAUAUCCUAGGGUAGGUGGCGUGUUACAUCAGGGACUGUCAUAUCCUUGGUAUCCAACCUCCAUGGCUACAGACUGCUGGAAGAGAUGAAUGUUAGAAAUAAUUGCACAGAUAAUCAAUGAAUCACAAUUGGAGUCAAUACUACAAAGGGAAUGUACACAAUUUCAAAAGAACAGAAAAGGGGAGAGUGUCUUAUUUAUAAUCACUCGAUCUCAGCAAAGAACAGGUAAAACACAUUCAAUGAUAAAUGGGAGAAGAAUUAAUGAACGAAUGAAUAAACAUGUAAAAAAUAUCUAGGCCUGUGCGUCUCAAUGUUUUUCCACAAAGCCAGUUGGUCAUACUUCCCCACAGGCAGACAUCAGCACUGGUUCCCUUUCCUUCUUCUAAAAGGCAGUCAUAUUCCAGAGAACUGGCGUGCUUUCCCACAUUCUUAUUAUUUAUCAAACAAAAAUAGAAGAGGUUUGUAAAUCAGGUUAUAUAAACAUUUCGAGCACAGUCAUUCUGCUCUUAGGAGAGAUAGCUAACCACACUCUCAUAACAAAUCCACUUUGAUCCCAACAUCCCACUUACGACCUCCUAGCACUCUCCAUCCAAGAAUAACAUUAAUAAUAAUCAGCCUAUUAGCCAGGGUGCUUGGUUUGAAUCCGAAAUAUUUGAGAAAUGAUCUUAUAAAUUAUUUUCCAAGGAUAUCAUCUUUAAGCAUUAACAGGCACAACUGACACUGAAUUCUGGGAAUUGAGCAUAAUUACAUGGAAAUUGACACGACACAAAUGCCAAGAAUUCUGUUAACCUUUAAUAUCUUUUAAAAACUCUCCCCUCAUAAUUAUCUCUUUCCUUUGUCUCAAAUGUUACUGAUGAAUAUUUAGAGGUAUGAGCAAACAAAAAAAGUGGAUGGAUUGUGGAAUAUUGGUCUUUGUUUGGAAUCCUAGAGUUUCCCAGGUGUUCCAUCAAGAGGUGAUAAAUAGAAUACUUGGAAUUUGACUAUUUUCAGAAGUUAUUUCUACCUUUAUAUUUGCUCUACUCGAGUUUUCUGCUUAUAAUUUCCCAUGCUGAGUAGAAGCUCCUUUGCAUUAGUAAUUACAGUAAAAGUGUAGUUCUAAGGCACUGGGUGUCUAACACAAUUCCUGACCUGUGCUGUGUCUUUGCAAAAGUCAUUGCACCUUUUCAGUGCUUCAGAUACCAUCUCUGUACAGUGAGUGUGAUGACAUUUAACUCCAACUGCAACAAUAUUUGCACAGUGAUGUAAACUUUACCAAGGGCAUUGCCAACCCUUUGCUCACUGGUAGAUCAGUGCCUCUUAAUUUUUUUCCUUCUUGCCAGUCUCCAAUGCUACCACCAAGGCUCUCUUGCUUUUUUUCUUUCCCCUCUCUCUCUACUCUUUUAAUUAAAUCCUAACUCAUCUCUCUGCUUCCAACCCUGCCUCUGCAUUAGUCAGUGCUUCUUAACAGGGGCAGGGCACACUCCUUGGAUUGUGGGAGUGGAAAAUUGAUUGGAUAUUGGUCACCACCAUAAUUGGAGAGGUACUGCUGCCGUUUAGUGUACAGAGGCCGCAGAGGUUAGAGACGCAGCAACGCAUGGCUAUUCAGCCACGGACGUCAAAUGCCUGCCAGACAUUUAGGAGAUGGAAAUAAAUUACCAACACUUCCUAAAAUCCGGACGCUCCCUUUGGAAGUGGGUGACUCCAAGCAGCCUUUGACAAGGGACUCAUUUAGCACUCAAUGCUG
rnacentral:lncRNA from 1 species